ensembl:lncRNA
UUAUCAAGAGGUGUGGCUAUCAGGAGGCAUAGUUAACAGGAGUUGGGGUUAUCAGUGGGUGUGGAUAUCAGGGGGUGUAGUUAAUGAAGGUGUGGAUAUCAGGGGGUGUGGUUAUCAAAAGAUGUGGUUUUCAGGAGGCAUAGUUAACAAGGGGUGUGGUUAUCAAGAGGUGUGGCUAUCAGGAGGCAUAGUUAACAGGAGGUGUGGUUAUCGGGGUGUGGCUAUCAGGAGGAAUAGUUAACAGGGGGUGUGGCUAUCAGGAGGCAUAGUUAACAGGGGGUGUGGCUAUCAGGAGGCAUAGUUAACAGGAGGUGUGGUUAUCAGGGGGUGUGUCUAUCAGGAGGAAUGGUUAACAGGGGGUGUGGCUAUCAGGAGGCAUAGUUAACAGGGGGUGUGGCUAUCAGGAGGCAUAGUUAACAGGAGGUGUGGCUAUCAGGGGGUGUGGUUAUCAGGGGGUGUGGCUAUCAGGAGGCAUAGUUAACAGGAGGUGUGGCUAUCAGGGGGUGUGGUUAUCAGUUAAUAGUGGGAGUAACGGAUCAUCCCAUAAUAACAUUAAAUAUUCAUUAACCUUUUAU